ensembl:lncRNA
GGUUUUGUUUGGGAUGACAACCUUGUUCAAUUAUGCUUUCCUCACUUUCUUUUUCUUCCUUUCAUAGGCAUUGAUCCUAAGAGCACCCCUUCAUAAAUAUACUGCAUGUGAGUCUCCCUCUCAGAAUCUGCUUCUCGGGGAUACUGUGACACAUUGUUGAUCCUUCCUUGGUGGACACAUAUUAAGAAUGCAAGCUUCCUAUGUGCUCAAAUGUUGGUGAUCGAAGGUAUGGGAAGACAUUACAGUUUUCAAACUUGGACCUGCUUACACAAGUUUUCCAGUAACAAUCACCUGUUUGUUCUUUGUUUGUCCAUGGAAUAUGAAUAUCAUUCUGGAUACCUUCUGCUUGACUACCCAGAUCUGCUUGCCACUCACCUCUAUGCUGCUCUUCAGGAGGCAAACUCCCGUGGUUUCCCUUGUCCUCUGGUUGGGUUGACUAAUAGACAGGAGAUUAACAAGAGAAGAAAAAGAAAGCAGGACUUGAAUUUCAACUGAGUAAUCUUCAGCACUCUCUGGGAUUUGAGGAAAUGAACCAAUACUUAAAUUCAAAUGAUAUGGACAGGAGACGGAAAUACUGGGUAAAAGAUGGCGGUUACCUGGCAAAGGCCCCACCCUUAAGCCUGAAGACCCUCAAUGCUAAAUGAGGACAGGCAUUUCUGUUUUCCAGCCUCAACAUUUUUUUGGCCUGCCAUGCCCCCCAAUUGUGCCCCCAUAUAAACCCAAGACCUUAGCAGGCACACACACAGGCAGUUGAAUGUCUGUCGAGACCAGCAGACCAGCGAUGGUGGAAGGAGGUGGCAGAGAAAGGGAGAAGAGGAGGGACAUCUGAACUCUGAGGGGAGUUUGGCCAGGGGUGGUUGGAGAACAGCCGCUGGGCAGCCCAACUCCAAGGGAAGACUACCUUCCCACUCCAUCCCCACUUCUGGCUCCCCAUCCAUCUUGCUGAGAGCCACCUCCACCACUCAAUAAAACUUUGCACUCAUCCUUUGAGCCUGCGAGUGAUGUGAGUCUUGCGGGAGGCUCGGCAAGAGCUCGGGAUACAGAAGACUGUCACACUGGCCCUCUGCCCUUGCGAUAAGGAAGAGGGUCCAUUGAGCUGAUUAACACUCAAGCCGUCUGCAGACGGCAAAUCUGAAAGAGCUUUGCAACACAUGCCCACUUGGGCCUUGGGAGUCGCAGUCACCCACUCCUAGAUGCCUCCCUGGGGCGGGAUCCCAAAAGCGCUCAUCAGGGCCUCUGCACCUGCCUGUCUGCGUGCUCCCCCUAGGGGUUUGAGCUGCAGGGCAACCAAGCAGGCGAGCCACACCCAUGUUUCACAUCCUGGGAGGGGAAUCAAGAAACUCUCCUGUUUCAACAUAUAUAUUACUGUGAUUGUCUUUUUGGUGUGUCAAUUUGAUUAGGCUGUAGUCUCCAGUUAUUCAAUUGAAUACUAAUCAUGUUGUUGGUGUAGAGAUGUUUUGUAGAUUUUGUAGAUGUGAUUUAAAUCCAUAAUCAGCUGACUUAAAGUGAUGGAGGUUAUUUUAGAUGAACCAGAUUCAAUUAGUUGAAAAGUUAAGAGCAGAGGUGAGGCUUUGCUAAAGAAGAAGACUUUCUGUGAACAGUAGCUACAUUCUGUGCCUGAAAGUUCCAGCCUGCCCUUCCUGAUGCCCUGCUCUACAAACUUCAGAUAUUCUUAGCCAGUCAUCAGAAUGGUGUAAACCACUUCCUUGCAAUAGAUCUCUCAAUGUAUAUCUCCUACUAAUUCUGCUUCCCUGGUUUAACUUUGAUUGAUACAAUUACCUGGAUUAUAGUUCCAAACAUAAUGUUAACCAAUGAAAUAGACUUCAAGGUUACCAAACUGUGUUUCCUGCCCUUGAGGAAAAUACUGUAAGAUGUUAGGAAUUAAUUAAACUCAGAAACUGUAUGUUUCAUUGCUAAGUUAUCCUUUCAGGUUUGUGAAUAUUUAUUAUAUCUACAGUCUAUUUUUCUUGGGUUAACCUCAAUACAUUUGUUUCAGUCUAUGGAGUCUUGACUGUUUUUGUGCUUGAUCCUUUAGAUAUUCUUAUAAAAUUUUGUACAUUAUAAAUACAUGUGUAAAUUAAUAUUAAUAAAAGGACUGAUAUUAUUGGCAACCUCCACUCUUAAAUUCAUAUGAUGGAGAUUUUUAAGUCAAAUAAAAUGGAAAACUAGGAUAUUUCUGUCUUUCAAAAGCAAAGUAUGACAUUCCCUU